rnacentral:rRNA from 1 species
GUGGGGAAUAUUGGACAAUGGGCGAAAGCCUGAUCCAGCCAUGCCGCGUGUGUGAAGAAGGUCUUCGGAUUGUAAAGCACUUUAAGUUGGGAGGAAGGGCAGUAAGUUAAUACCUUGCUGUUUUGACGUUACCGACAGAAUAAGCACCGGCUAACUUCGUGCCAGCAGCCGCGGUAAUACGAAGGGUGCAAGCGUUAAUCGGAAUUACUGGGCGUAAAGCGCGCGUAGGUGGUUUUGUAAGUUGGAGGUGAAAUCCCCGGGCUCAACCUGGGAACUGCCUCCAAAACUGCAUGACUAGAGUACGGUAGAGGGUAGUGGAAUUUCCUGUGUAGCGGUGAAAUGCGUAGAUAUAGGAAGGAACACCAGUGGCGAAGGCGACUACCUGGACUGAUACUGACACUGAGGUGCGAAAGCGUGGGGAGCAAACAGGAUUAGAAACCCGGGUAGCC